rnacentral:rRNA from 1 species
AACUUUCAGCAAUGGAUCUCUUGGUUCCCGCGUCGAUGAAGAACGUGGCAAAAUGCGAUAAGUAGUGUGAAUUGCAGAAUUCAGUGACUCAUCGAAUUUUUGAACGCAUAUUGCGCUCCUCAGUAUUCUGUGGAGCAUGCCUGUUUGAGCGUCA